rnacentral:rRNA from 1 species
GUCCUAGCUGUAAACGAUGGGCACUAGGCAGUGGAGGUCCGAUGCCGUCACUGUCGGAGUUAAUAUGUUAAGUGCCCCGCCUGGGGAGUACGGCCGCAAGGCUGAAACUCAAAGGAAUUGACGGGGGCUCACACAAGCGGUGGAGCAUGUGGUUCAAUUCGAAGCAACGCGCAGAACCUUACCAGGGUUUGAAAUGCACGGAUUAGCCUCCCGAAACGGAGGUGACACCCUUGGGUGGAACGUGCACAGGUGUUGCAUGGCUGUCGU